rnacentral:rRNA from 1 species
AACGUAGGUUCCGAGCGUUAUCCGGAUUUACUGGGCGUAAAGCGCGUGUAGGCGGCUUUGCAAGUCGGGUGUGAAAGCCCUCAGCUCAACUGAGGAAGUGUGCCCGAAACUGCAGAGCUUGAGUGCCGGAGAGGGUGGCGGAAUUCCCCAAGUAGAGGUGAAAUUCGUAGAUAUGGGGAGGAACACCGGUGGCGAAGGCGGCCACCUGGACGGUAACUGACGCUGAGACGCGAAAGCGUGGGGAGCAAACAGG